rnacentral:rRNA from 1 species
AUUGAACGCUGGCGGCAGGCCUAACACAUGCAAGUCGAACGGUAACAGGAAGAAGCUUGCUUCUUUGCUGACGAGUGGCGGACGGGUGAGUAAUGUCUGGGAAACUGCCUGAUGGAGGGGGAUAACUACUGGAAACGGUAGCUAAUACCGCAUAACGUCGCAAGACCAAAAAGGGGGACCUUCGGGCCUCUUGCCAUCGGAUGUGCCCAGAUGGGAUUAGCUAGUAGGUGGGGUAACGGCUCACCUAGGCGACGAUCCCUAGCUGGUCUGAGAGGAUGACCAGCCACACUGGAACUGAGACACGGUCCAGACUCCUACGGGAGGCAGCAGUGGGGAAUAUUGCACAAUGGGCGCAAGCCUGAUGCAGCCAUGCCGCGUGUAUGAAGAAGGCCUUCGGGUUGUAAAGUACUUUCAGCGGGGAGGAAGGGAGUAAGGUUAAUACCUUUGCUCAUUGACGUUACCCGCAGAAGAAGCACCGGCUAACUCCGUG